rnacentral:misc_RNA from 1 species
AACCGCCGUAUACCGAAUGGUUCGUACGGUGGUGUGGGAGGUCGGUAAAUAAAUUAAUUAUUUACCUCCUACCCGAU